GGUACCGAUCACAGUCUAUUUGAAUUUUCAUUGUCAGGAAUUGUUUUAUGUUAAUGGGAGUCCUGUAGGCAAAGUUUCAUUCUGCAAGGUCCUCCACUUCUAUUAUACAAAUGGUUGCAUCUUUGAGAGCUAUUACAGCAGUAGCUACUGUGGGUUGGACCUGCCAUUAUUUAUGUGCUGAUGCAAGAUGCUUGCUUUGGUUUUCUGCUUUAGAAGUCUAUAUAGCUGUUUGUUGUGAGCUUGCAAUUCUAUGAAGUUCAUUCAAUACUCAAUUCUCAAGUUGAAUUUCUAAUUAGCAGUUACUGUUUUGGCAGCUAACUUGUCCCUCAAUCGAG
rnacentral:misc_RNA from 1 species